GGAUACCUACCGUAAUUCUAGAGCUAAUGCAUGCUUACAGACCCAACUCUUCGGACGGGUUGUGCUUAUUAUAUACCGAACCAACCCCCUUCGGGGGCUUUCAGUUGAUUCAUACUACUCCAGCGAAUCGCCCAUUGCAGGCGAUGAGUCUUUCAAGUUUCUGACCUAUCAGCUUCCGACGGUAGGGUAUUGGCCUACCGUGGCUUUGACGGGUAACGGAGAAUUAGGGUUCGAUUCCGGAGAGGGAGCCUGAGAAACGGCUACCACAUCUAAGGAAGGCAGCAGGCGCGUACAUUACCCAAUCCUGACACAGGGAGGUAGUGACAAGAAAUACCAAUAUGCGGCUCAUAUGUCUUGUAAUUGGGAUGAGUAUAAUUUAACCCGCGUUACGAGUAUCAAUUGGAGGGCAAGUCUGGUGCCAGCAGCCGCGGUAAUUCCAGCUCCAAGAGCGUAUAUUAAAAUUGUUGCGGUUAAAACGCUCGUAGUUGGAUAUUUGUUGAGAACUGCCGGUCUAGGCCANUGGUCAGCACACGGUUUGUUCUCGGCACUUUCCUGGGGAGAGUGUUUGCACUUCACUGUGUGGCACAUGAUCCAGAUCUUUUACUUUGAGGAAAUGACAGUGUUUCAAGCAGGCGCCUGUCGUGAAUACGUNANCAUGGACCUAAUANCAUGGGACCGCGGUCUGAAGGCUGUUGGNUUUUGGGCCHUGGGAAUGAAANUAGGGAUAGNUGGGGGUAUUCGUAU
rnacentral:rRNA from 1 species